AAAACGCCAGAGAACUACAAGCGCAAGCUUAAAACUCAAAGGACUUGACGGUGCCCCAUCUGCCUAGAGGAGCCUGUUCUAUAAUUGAUAAUCCCCGAUCUACCUCACCCUUUUUAGCUAAUCAGCUUGUAUACUUCCGUCGAUAAGCCUAUCAUAUGAAUGCUCAAUAGGCUAAAUAAUCAAAACGUCAGGUCAAAGUGCAGCCAAUAAAAAGGGAAGAAAUGGGCUACAAUUUUUAAUUUAAAAUACAUGAAGCUCCUAAAAAGCUAUGAAGGUGGAUUUAGAAGUAAAGUGAAAGUAGAGUGUUUACUUUAAUUAUGCUCUGGGACGCGUACACACCGCCCGUCACCCU
rnacentral:rRNA from 1 species